rnacentral:rRNA from 1 species
UACGUAGGGUGCGAGCGUUAAUCGGAAUUACUGGGCGUAAAGCGUGCGCAGGCGGUUCUCCAAGUCCGUUGUGAAAGCCCCGGGCUCAACCUGGGAAUGGCAGUGGAAACUAGGGGACUGGAAUCUGGAAGAGGCGAGUGGAAUUCCUGGUGUAGCGGUGAAAUGCGCAGAUAUCAGGAGGAACACCAAUUGCGAAGGCAGCUCGCUGGGACGUUACUGACGCUGAGACGCGAAAGCGUGGGGAGCAAACAGG